AAUAAUAAUAAUAAUAAUUUACGUAUCUUGCUUAUUUGGAAGUCAACAUAAAUUGUAUAUUUGGAUGGACUAGAAACUGUGAUUCAGAAAUUCAAGGAGGCACGGUCAAAUUUGGACACCCUAAAGAAGCUGGAAGUGUCCAUUCUCCAUGGGUUGAUGCAACUGAAAUGAAGGAACAUCCUGAAUUUAGCAAGCGGAAGUUUGAUAGAAUAAUUUGAACUUCCCCCAUGCUGGCUUUCAUGGAAAGGAAGAAGACGACAAAGCUAUUCGUGAGCUGCCAGGUAAGUCCAUUGGACAUAUGUGUCAAUAUAGUGAGUUAAAAAUGGUUAUCAUAAGAGGGAACUUCAAGUGAUUCGUAUUUCUUAAUAAUUCAACUAGUUAAGCAUAUACUAAGGAGUUGUUUAUUUCUUAAUAAUUAAUAACCUAUAAUUCGGAAGUACAAUCCACUACAAUCUAUCAAUUGGUUAAUCCCAAACAUGUACUAAGGAGUUGUUUAUUUUUAUCUAAAGCCUGAAUUUUACUUAUUUUCAGACAUUGAUAGUUUUUAAUUUUUUUUUUCUAUUGCUUAUGUCUAAUUAAAAUAUGUUUAGGUGUGAAUAGAAAAAGUUAAAUAUUUUGAUUUUUAUCUGAAUGGUAAAACAUAUGAAUAGAGCUUUAAUAUUCUCUCUUAUUAUUACCCCUUUAAAUAAAUUUAUUUUCUAUUAUACAAAUUAUUCUUUAUUUUUUUAAUUAUGCUUUUUUUGUUAUAUGCCUGUAUUCAACUUUUUUUUUUUGUGAGUGAGAAUUUUAACAUAAUAAAGCGUUUAGGUGAGGGUGUUUUAUAAUGGUCUAUCUUUUUGUAUUUAUAUUUACUAUUCUUAAAAUAGAUCUUAUACUGAUUAUUCUCAUUCUCCGUAAUUUAUUGUACCGAAUGUUCUAAAACCUACCUAGCAUUAACGAGUGAAAUAGAAAUUUCGGGAAGCCAAGAAAGUUUGUGUGCACUGAAUGCCUCUACUUUGUAAGUUCAAUUGAUCUCCUCUUAGUUGAAGUAGAUGAUAGUAAAUAGUAUCUGAGUUUCAUUUCAGAUUCCAAAAACAAUCCUCCAUUUGAAUAGUUAAGUAGAGAUCCGCAUUGCUUUCUUUUUCUUUAGAGGAAUGGCUGACUCCUUUGAUCAUGAAACUAUGUCACGGCUAUCACAAAAACCCGAGUAAUUCUAUUCAUAGAACCAAAAUAGAGUUGAGUUGGUGCUCCUUCAUUUUGACUGAUUUAUUAUGAUGCAUAACAACAAAUGAUGAGAUGGUAUCUGAUAUGAUAAUGAGAAUUAGUCGUCAACGAGAAAAUUAAUUUCGCAAGAACACGGUUGGUCGCAGAACUCUCCUAGUCCUUGGAAGUAAUUUAAAGGAAAGGUGCAUCAAUUGCUUUGUGUAGCGUGCUUUAUGGUUAGAGCUUUGUGCUCUUGGUCUUCGGAGUUUACUUAUUCUUGAUUCUAUAGACCUGCAGCCAACAUACAACAGGGUUUGAUUUUCUUUAUUUUUCGCUCUCUUUGGCCCCCUUUUUUUCAUUCCUCGAUGGCUCUUUGGUUAUAAAUUAUGUCCCAAAAGACAAGUCGUCUCUGGUCUUCAGGAAGACAAGUGGAAAUUGUAAAUAGUUUUGAUGACUUUUUUGCAGUGUAGGACCCAAUAAAAAAGUUGAACACGCUUUUGUUGUUUUUCACUUUUAUGAAGGAAUGAGAAUGAUCUGUUUUCAAAAGAAUUUAAGUACGUUGCAAAACGGUGCCAUCAACAAGUUUUUUAUUUUUUAAAAAUUUUUGAAAAAUAAAAGACACCGUGAUUAUGUAGUUUCUCAUUUCUUCCUAAUUUUGGCAGUAAACAAACAGUAAUAACAAAUAUUGAUUAAGCAAAUUAGUUUUCGGGAAUAUUUGAAGGAGAGAUUCCAUAGGAAAUAAAGGUUAGUCCAAUUUUGCAAAAGAUUCUAUGCUCCGUAAAAAGAGAGCAUCUAUAUAUAAGGAUGUGGUCAAGUGUUGGCCAUCACGCGUAUUAGAGUAUGCGAAUAGCGUGUGCGGCGAGAACUCUUAGGAAGGCGCUUGGCACCACAGCAAAGCUCCCCUAAUGAAUGCUCUCCAGUCACAAGCACCAGAUUAAGCUCGUCUACAAAUAUCUGGCUGCAAAAAUAAACAAACCAACUUUCGUAAAAUAAAUAUUAAAAUAAACUAGAAUGAGCUCAAUUGCCGACAAAUUCCAGGUUGCUUAGGUCAAAAUAAACAAUGACCAAACACUGUAUGCAAAACCAUCACUCUGCUUUGUAAAUUAGACCUGCUGGUGUCAUAUGGCGGAGGCUGCGGUGAAAUUUGCUCUAGAGACCUUGGGUCCUUUGCUUGUCGAAGAAAUCAGAUUGUUGGGGGGUGUUAGAAAAGAAGUUCAAAGCAUCAAAAGCGAACUGGAAAGUCUCAGAUCUUUCCUCAAAGACGCAGAUGCAAGGGCAGCAGUCGAGGAAUUAGAAGGAGGCGGUGAGGAAAGCGUCAGAACUUGGGUGAAACAACUGAGGGAUGAGGCUUAUCGCAUUGAAGAUUUCAUCGAUGAGUACGCACUCAUGGUGGCAAAACUCCCCCAUGAGAGUGGCCUCGUUGGUGUUCUCCAUAGAAUUAGUCGUUUCAUAAAGAAGCUGAGGCGGCGGCGUGGAGUUGCUACUGAGAUUCAAGAUAUCGAAUCAGCGCUUGCUGAUAUAAAGCGAAGGGGAGAAAGCUAUCGAUUCAGAUCUAUUGAUGAACCAUCGAGAAGUGGAACCAGAAAUGUUAUCCCACAUGACUCUCCAGUUCGUUCCUUUUUCGUUGAAGAUGAUGAAGUUGUGGGCAUCGAAUCCAUUAAAGAUAAAUUGAUUGAUUUGAUGGUGAACGGAAGAUCCAAAAGUUCAGUGGUUGCUGUGGUGGGUGAAGGAGGACUAGGCAAGACCACUCUUGCCGGGAAACUUUUUAACAAUGAAGGUUUAAAAACUCACUUCAGUUGCCGGGCUUGGGUUACCGUUGGGAAAGAAUACAACAAAAAUGAUUUGUUGAGGACAAUUAUAAAGGAGUUUCACCGUUUAUCAAAACAUGGAAGAGAUGGACCUGAUCGCCACGCUGAGGGACCACUUGAAGGACAAAAGUUACAUGGUUGUGCUCGACGAUGUUUGGAAGAUUGAUUUUUGGAGAGACGUGGAGCAUGCUUUACUUGAUAACAAGAAGUGCAGCAGGAUAAUUGUCACAACACGGCACAUGAAUGUCGCUAAGUUUUGCAAAUCAUCUUCCUCUGUUCGUAUCCAUGAGCUUGAAACUUUGCCUCCGGAUGAAGCGUGGAAACUUUUUUGUAGAAAGGCGUUCGGACCAAGCUCCGGAGGUUGUUGUCCUUCAGAGUUGAAGGAGUUCUUUAUCGUGGCCCUAGGUGGACUUCUUUCAACCAAGAACAGGAUUGUAUCUGAAUGGAAGAAAUUAUUUGAUAGGUUGGGCUCAAUGUUAGGAAGUGAUCCCCAUCUAAAAGAUUGCAACAGAGUUUUAUCUGAAGGGUAUUAUGAUCUUCCUCACCACCUCAAAUCAUGUCUUCUGUACUUUGGCUUAUUUCCAGAGAGCUGCAAAAUUAACCGUGGUAGACUUAUCCGUUUGUAGAUAGCUGAGGGCUUUGUCCAACACAGAAAACGCCUCACAUCUGAACAGGUUGCAGCCGAAUACUUGGAUGAGCUCAUUGACAGAAGCUUGGUUCAAGUUUCAAACAGAGAGAUCCCUGGACGAGCUAUAAUCUGCCAAGUUCAUGAUCUUAUGCACGAGAUCAUCAUCAGAAAAACUGAAGAAUUGGGCUUCGGUCGUCUGCUGAACGGAGAGGACUCGAGUCAUUGCAGUAAAACUCGACGCAUUACUAUACAGAGAAGUAUUGAUGAUGGUGCUUUAGAGAGCAUCAAGGAC
rnacentral:lncRNA from 1 species